rnacentral:rRNA from 1 species
UAGGGAAUCUUCGGCAAUGGACGAAAGUCUGACCGAGCAACGCCGCGUGAGUGAAGAAGGUUUUCGGAUCGUAAAACUCUGUUGGUAGAGAAGAACGUUGGUGAGAGUGGAAAGCUCAUCAAGUGACGGUAACUACCCAGAAAGGGCGGCUAACUACGUGCCAG